AACGAACGCUGGCGGCAUGCCUAACACAUGCAAGUCGAACGGCAGCACGGGAGCAAUCCUGGUGGCGAGUGGCGAACGGGUGAGUAAUAUAUCGGAACGUGCCCAGUCGUGGGGGAUAACGUAGCGAAAGCUACGCUAAUACCGCAUACGAUCUACGGAUGAAAGCGGGGGAUCGCAAGACCUCGCGCGAUUGGAGCGGCCGAUAUCAGAUUAGGUAGUUGGUGAGGUAAAGGCUCACCAAGCCGACGAUCUGUAGCUGGUCUGAGAGGACGACCAGCCACACUGGGACUGAGACACGGCCCAGACUCCUACGGGAGGCAGCAGUGGGGAAUUUUGGACAAUGGGCGCAAGCCUGAUCCAGCAAUGCCGCGUGCAGGAUGAAGGCCUUCGGUUGGUAAACUAGUCGUUUGUUGUCGGAACGAAACCGGUAGG
rnacentral:rRNA from 1 species